rnacentral:rRNA from 1 species
AUACGGAAGGUGCAAGCGUUACUCGGAAUCACUGGGCGUAAAGCGCGCGCAGGCGGCUAUUUAAGUUGGAUGUGAAAGCCUACGGCACAACCGUAGAACUGCAUCCAAAACUAUUUAGCUAGAGUGUGGGAGAGGAAGAUGGAAUUAGUUGUGUAGGGGUAAAAUCCGUAGAGAUAACUAGGAAUACCAAAAGCGAAGGCAAUCUUCUGGAACACUACUGACGCUGAGGCGCGAAAGCGUGGGGAGCAAACGGGAUUAGAAACCCGUGUAGUCC